AUUCGGAUUGAGCCGUUACUAGGUGCCAGUUGUAUACAUGAAGCAGGAAUUACUAUUCUACCGCCGUUUCUUUCCUUUUUUCUUUUUUUUUUUUUAAUUCCCAAAGAGUUCUUCCAAUCGUCAGAUAUUUGUACAUGUGCUGCCCUGGCGGGCACUAUACCCUCAUUUUAAGACGAGGAAACAGAUUCAGACUCGAGAAGAGACCAGCCAAGGUCACUGGGGCUCAAACCGAAGUCCAGCUGGCUCCUCCGCUGCCCCGAGGACGGGCCCGGAGGUCUCCCUGGAGCGUGCCCAUUUCCCUCAGCAUUGACCGUCUGGAGUUUGACCUUCUGUAUCCUGCCAUCAAGGGUGACACCAUUCAGCUCUACCUGGGGGCCAAGUUGUUGGACUCACAGGGAAAGGUGACCAAGUGGUUCAAUAACUCUGCAGCUUCCCUGACAAUGCCCACCCUGGACAACAUCCCGUUCAGCCUCAUCGUGAGUCAGGACGUGGUGAAAGCUGCAGUGGCUGCUGCGCUCCCUCCAGAAGAAUUCAUGGUCCUGUUGGACUCUGUGCUUCCUGAGAUUGCCCAUCGGCUGAAGUCAAGCAUCGGGCUGAUCAAUGAAAAGGUGCAGUAACACAGGACAGGUUCUAGGGGCCGUGAGAACACUCUGGGCCCCUGAUAUAGUCUGGGACGUCAGGGAGGCCUCCCUGAAGGGAAGGGCAUUCCAGACAGAGGGAACAGGAGACCAAAGGCUGCCAGGCUGCAGAUAAGCUGGGGUCUACCCAGAUCGUGAAGAUCCUAACUCAGGACACUCCCGAGUUUUUUAUAGACCAAGGCCGUGCCAAGGUGGCCCAACUGAUCGUGCUGGAAGUGUUUCCCUCCAGUGAAGCCCUCCGCCCUUUGUUCACCCUGGGCAUCGAAGCCAGCUCGGAAGCUCAGUUUUACACCAAAGGUGACCAACUUAUACUCAACUUGAAUAACAUCAGCUCUGAUCGGAUCCAGCUGAUGAACUCUGGGAUUGGCUGGUUCCAACCUGAUGUUCUGAAAAACAUCAUCACUGAGAUCAUCCACUCCAUCCUGCUGCCGAACCAGAAUGACUGGAAAAAUCUCAAAGUAUAGAAACCUCUGCUGGGGAUAAUGGGAGCCCCUGAUGGUUCUUGAGCAAGAGCGUAAGAGAAUGCAAAUUAAGAUCUGGGGUCCCAGUGUCAUUGGUGAAGGCCUUGGGAUUCGAGGCAGCUGAGUCCUCACUGACCAAGGCAAGCCAUGCUUCUGAGUGCUCGAGGCCACCGAAAUGAACAAAUGGAAAACACUCCCAUCUUUUUCAAGCCUACCUUUUAGCAGAAGAGGCAGAUACACAAGCCCUAAAGAUGUAACAUCAGGCUGAGUGGAGGAAGGCUGAGGAGAAAAAUAAAGCAGGCUCAGGAGGAGAGAGUGAUGUCAGGGAAGGGGGUGCUCUUUCAGAUGGGGUGGUCAGGGAGGGCCUCUCUGAGGAGGUAACAUUUGAGCCAAUGCCUGAGGAGGUGAGGGGUGAGCCCUGUGGGUAGCUGGGAGAAGUGUCCUGUCAGAGGGACAGGGUAUUAGGCCGUUCUCACACUGCUAUAAAGAAAUACCUGAGGCUGGGCUCAGUGGCUUGUGCCUAUAAUCCCAGCACUUUGGGAGGCCAAGGUGGGCAGAUCACCUGAGGUCAAGAGUUCGAGACCAGCCUGGCCAACAUGCAAAACCCAGUCUCUACUAAAAAUACAAAAAUUAGCUGGGCGUGAUGGCGGGUACCUGUAAUCCCAGCUACUCGGAAGGCUGAGGCAGAAGAAUUGCUUGAACCCAGGAGGCGGAGGUUGCAGUGACCUGAGAUCACGCCAUUGCACUCCAGCCUGGGCAACAAGAGUGAAAUCCAUCCCCCCACAAAAAAAAAAAAAAGGAAAGAAAAUAAAUACCUGAGACUGGGUAAUUCAUG
rnacentral:sRNA from 1 species